rnacentral:rRNA from 1 species
AGCAGCAGCCGCGGGAAUACAGAGGGUGCGAGCGUUAAUCGGAUUUACUGGGCGUAAAGGGAGCGUAGGCGGACAUUUAAGUCAGGGGUGAAAUCCCAGAGCUCAACUCUGGAACUGCCUUUGAUACUGGGUGUCUUGAGUGUGAUAGAGGUAUGUGGAACUCCGAGUGUAGAGGUGAAAUUCGUAGAUAUUCGGAAGAACACCAGUGGCGAAGGCGACAUACUGGAUCAUUACUGACGCUGAGGCUCGAAAGCGUGGGGAGCAAACAGGAUUAGAUACCCCUGUAGUCCCUGUCUCUUAUAC